CAAGAAGCUGAAACUGCUAUAACUGAAAUGACUGGAAAAUGGCUUGGAAGCAGACAAAUAAGGUGCAAUUGGGCAACAAAGACCAAUUCAAAAGAGAAACCAGAAACUGACAAUCAUAAUGCAGUUGUACUAACAAAUGGUAGCUCCACCAAUUCAGCAACGGAUGCAAGCCAGGAUGCAGGAAGUAAAGAGAACCUAGAGAACAAUCCUGAUUGUACUACUGUAUAUGUUGGCAACCUUGGACAUGA